AAAGUAGGGGAUCGUAAGACCUUGCGCUUUUGGAGUGGCCGAUGCCUGAUUAGCUAGUUGGUGGGGUAAGGGCCUACCAAGGCGACGAUCAGUAGUUGGUCUGAGAGGACGACCAGCCACACUGGGACUGAGACACGGCCCAGACUCCUACGGGAGGCAGCAGUGGGGAAUUUUGGACAAUGGGCGAAAGCCUGAUCCAGCAAUGCCGCGUGAGUGAAGAAGGCCUUCGGGUUGUAAAGCUCUUUCAGUCGAGAAGAAAAGGUUGCGACUAAUAAUCGCAACUUAUGACGGUAUCGACAGAAGAAGCACCGGCUAACUACGUGCCAGCAGCCGCGGUAAUACGUAGGGUGCGAGCGUUAAUCGGAAUUACUGGGCGUAAAGGGUGCGCAGGCGGCUCUGUAAGUCAGAUGUGAAAUCCCCGGGCUUAACCUGGGAAUUGCGUUUGAAACUACAAAGCUAGA
rnacentral:rRNA from 1 species